UACGAAGGGGGCUAGCGUUGCUCGGAAUCACUGGGCGUAAAGCGCACGUAGGCGGCUUUCUAAGUCAGGGGUGAAAUCCUGGAGCUCAACUCCAGAACUGCCUUUGAUACUGGAAAGCUUGAGUCCGGGAGAGGUGAGUGGAACUGCGAGUGUAGAGGUGAAAUUCGUAGAUAUUCGCAAGAACACCAGUGGCGAAGGCGGCUCACUGGCCCGGUACUGACGCUGAGACGCGAAAGCGUGGGGAGCGAACAGG
rnacentral:rRNA from 1 species